rnacentral:SRP_RNA from 1 species
AGUGACGCUGGUGCAAGAGAGGACCGCAAACCCCGCCAGGACCGAAAGGUAGCAACGGUAGCGUGCCCUCCUCUGUGUCAUCGGCGUCUUUUGA